rnacentral:misc_RNA from 1 species
GCAAACUUGGUCAUUUAGAGGAAGUAAAAGUCGUAACAAGGUUUCCGUAGGUGAACCUGCGGAAGGAUCAUUAAUGAAUUUAUAGGACGUUCUUUUUAGAAGUCCGACCCUUUCAUUUCCACACACUGUGCACACACUACUUUUUACACCAUUUUAAACACAUCAGUCUAAGAAUGUAAACAGCCUCUUAAUUGAGCAUAAUAUAAAUAAAACUUUCAGCAACGGAUCUCUUGGCUCUCGCAUCGAUGAAGAACGCAGC